GACGAACGCUGGCGGCGUGCCUAAUACAUGCAAGUAGAACGCUGAAGGAGGAGCUUGCUUCUCUGGAUGAGUUGCGAACGGGUGAGUAACGCGUAGGUAACCUGCCUGGUAGCGGGGGAUAACUAUUGGAAACGAUAGCUAAUACCGCAUAAUAGUAGAUGUUGCAUGACAUUUGCUUAAAAGGUGCAAUUGCAUCACUACCAGAUGGACCUGCGUUGUAUUAGCUAGUUGGUGAGGUAACGGCUCACCAAGGCGACGAUACAUAGCCGACCUGAGAGGGUGAGCGGCCACACUGGGACUGAGACACGGCCCAGACGCCUACGGGAGGCAGCAGUAGGGAAUCUUCGGCAAUGGACGGAAGUCUGACCGAGCAACGCCGCGUGAGUGAAGAAGGUUGUCGGAUCGUAAAGCUCUGUUGUAAGAGAAGAACGAGUGUGAGAGUGGAAAGUUCACACUGUGACGGUAUCUCACCAGAAAGGGACGGCUAACUACGUG
rnacentral:rRNA from 1 species